CCUACGGGAGGCAGCAGUGGGGAAUAUUGCACAAUGGGGGGAACCCUGAUGCAGCGACGCCGCGUGAGUGAAGAAGGAUUUCGGGAUGUUAAGCUCUAUUAGCAGGGAAGAAAAAGACGGUACUUGACUAAGAAGCCCCGUCUACACACGGGCCAGCAGCCGCGGUAAUAAGUCGGGGGCAAGCUUUAUCCGGAUUGACUGGGUGUAAGGGGGGUGCAGUGGGCUGGGAAAUUCUGGAGAGAAGGGCGCGGGCCCAACCCCCGGAGUGCUUUUGAAACAGGAAAGCUUGAGUGCAGGAGAGGUAAGCGGAAUUCGUAGUGUAGCGGUGAAAUGCGUAGAUAUCGGGAGGAACACCGGUGGCGAAGGCAGCUUACUGGACUGCAACUGACGUUGAGGCUCGAAAGCGUGGGGAGCAAACAGGAUUAGAUACCCGAGUAGUC
rnacentral:rRNA from 1 species